GACGAACGCUGGCGGCGUGCCUAAUACAUGCAAGUUGAGCGCUGAAGGUUGGUACUUGUACCGACUGGAUGAGCAGCGAACGGGUGAGUAACGCGUGGGGAAUCUGCCUUUUAGCGGGGGACAACGUUUGGAAACGCAUGCUAAUACCGCAUAAAAACUUUAAACACAAGUUUUAAGUUUGAAAUAUGCAAUUGCAUCACUCAAAGAUUAUCCCGCGUUGUAUUAGCUAGUUGGUGAGGUAAAGGCUCACCAAGGCGAUGAUACAUAGCCGACCUGAGAGGGGGAUCGGCGACAUGGGGACGGGGACAGGGCCAAAACGCCUACGGGAGGGCGCAGUAGGGAACCGUCGGCAACGGAGGAAAGUCUGACCGAGUAACGCCGAGCCAGUGAAGAAGGGUCUCGGAUCGGAAAACUCGGUUGGUAGAGAAGAACGUUGGUGGGAGUGGAAAGCUCAUCAAGUGACGGUACCUACACAGAAAGCGACGGCUAACUACGUG
rnacentral:rRNA from 1 species